CCUACGGGAGGCUGCAGUGGGGAAUAUUGGACAAUGGGGGCAACCCUGAUCCAGCCAUGCCGCGUGUGUGAAGAAGGCCCUCGGGUUGUAAAGCACUUUCAGUGAGGAAGAACGCCUGGUGGUUAAUACCCAUCAGGAAAGACAUCACUCACAGAAGAAGCACCGGCUAACUCCGUGCCAGCAGCCGCGGUAAUACGGAGGGUGCGAGCGUUAAUCGGAAUUACUGGGCGUAAAGCGCGCGUAGGUGGCUUGAUAAGCCGGUUGUGAAAGCCCCGGGCUCAACCUGGGAACGGCAUCCGGAACUGUCAAGCUAGAGUGCAGGAGAGGAAGGUAGAAUUCCCGGUGUAGCGGUGAAAUGCGUAGAGAUCGGGAGGAAUACCAGUGGCGAAGGCGGCCUUCUGGACUGACACUGACACUGAGGUGCGAAAGCGUGGGUAGCAAACAGGAUUAGAUACCCGAUAGUC
rnacentral:rRNA from 1 species